rfam:Capsicum annuum cultivar Zunla-1 chromosome 7, whole genome shotgun sequence
UAUUGGUGGUGUGGACAAUCCCAAAAAAAAGCCUUGAAGUAUUCUUAAGCAUGAUAAAGGUUUUCAGCAGUCUUCUGUUUGAAGCUUACUAUCUCAUUGCGAAGUCU